GACGAACGCUGGCGGCGUGCUUAACACAUGCCAGUCGAACGGAAAGGCCCCUUUGGGGGUACUCGAGUGGCGAACGGGUGAGUAACACGUGAGUAACCUGCCCUUGACUUCGGGAUAACUUCAGGAAACUGGGGCUAAUACCGGAUAGGAAUCCUUGCUGCAUGGUGGGGGUUGGAAAGCUUCGGCGGUUUUGGAUGGACUCGCGGCUUAUCAGCUUGUUGGUGGGGUAGUGGCUUACCAAGGCUUUGACGGGUAGCCGGCCUGAGAGGGCGACCGGCCACAGUGGGACUGAGAUACGGCCCAGACUCCUACGGGAGGCAGCAGGGGGGAAUAUUGCACAAUGGGCGGAAGCCGGAUGCAGCAACGCCGCGGGCGGGAGGACGGCCUUCGGGUUGUAAACCGCUUUCAGCAGGGGCGAAGCUUGUGGUGACGGUACCUGCAGAAGAAGCACCGGCUAACUACGUG
rnacentral:rRNA from 1 species